CAACAGUGAGUGGGUCCCAGCUGUUCCACAUCCUCACCUGAGUUGGUGCUGUCAGUGCUCGAGAUUUUGGCUAUUCUAAUAGAGUCACCAAGGAAAUCGUCACAUGGUCAAGCACCGGAUGGAAGAAAACUUCACUUACAUAGAGAAGAGACAGAGCAAGAUCAGCUUCAACAAUAAGGAAAUGCUGGACGUGGAAUUUGGGGAAUUUUAAUGGUGCUGUUGUUGCUGCUGGUAUAGAGGAAGAUAUACACAUCCUCAGUUUCCAAUGAUCCCGACUGGAGCACGCAGGACCUGAUCCUCAUUUGACCUGUCUCUCUGGGGAGCUUUUCUCUGGGAAGAGGUUUCUUUCACUUCAAAGAGACUUCAAAGACAGAGAGAGGGAAAAGAGCAGAUGGGGUCCUUUAG